GUUUCGGAUGCUCAGUCUCUGUUUUUUUUUUGCCUAUUUUCAGACGUCUUGUUUAUCACAUGUGGCUUUCCUUUAGACUAGGUAUUCUUAGCCAAAUUGCCAUAUGAGAAAUGGGACAUCAUGUCCUUGGAUAAGGAAAAAGACGAAGUGUAGUAUCUUAAUAGUUGAGAAUUCUUUUAUUAGACUCGUUUGAGAGAAAUAUCUUCUUCCUUGAUCCCUGCCAUGGAUUGCUAUACAUAUAUGGUUCUUGGUCAAGCAAAUCUUCAAUAAGAGCUCUUCAGUUGCAAUCAGAUCAUAAUCUUUACAUGCAUCUGAGAUAAUUAGUACGCUUUGGAAACUCAUUGCAUACAGAAAACAUGGCCUUGAAAUAAUUUGUCUUCGUAAUGACAAAAUCAAUUUGUUUCGUGUUUCUUCUCUAUUUGGUAGAACCACCCUAUUCCAUGAAUAUCAUUUCUCUUUGCCUUUCUUCCCCUUCUUUUCCAUUCAUUUUUUGUUGAUGACAUUGUGGAAUCUGUGAUUUAUUUAAGUAUCUUAUAGAUAUGCUGAAUGCUAAUAUUUGAUUUUCAGCUCCAAAGCCUCAUAGGUCAUGGGUAAAUCAUGCUUCUCAUUAGAUCUGCCUGCAUUGAUUCGUCCUGUUGAACACUCUCAUGCCUUUGCACAACUAGAAUUUCAUCAAGGGAUCUAAGGAACGAAGCGUGAUGUCCAUAUCAGUUUUUGCUGGGAUGUUGAUGUGUGUGCUGAGGGUUGCAGAUGUGAUCACCAGCGAAUUCAUGCUUUUAACCUUAUCAGAUUGUUUAGAUAAUUUUACAGCAUAAACCUGUACAUUUAUCAGUUUUCUGAGGUUAAUUUUUGUCAUCUACAUAAUUUGUGAUGUGUUUGAUAUGAGUUUUUCGAACUUUGAGGUAAUUCCGGGCACGCUAUUUUUGUACUGAGCUUUUAUAGUUAGGGACUAUGUCAUGUGUGAUCCCUAACAAUGAUGAAAGAUGUGAAGGACUUGCAUGUGUUUUGCAUGGAUUUCCUGAGAAAGAAUUGCAUUGAUUGGAUUUGAGCUUUCCAGUUAUGCCAAUUAUGUCCUAAAUACUGGAAUUUAUAA